UUGCUUUGACAGUACAUACACUAAAAUUAGAACAUAAAGAGACCAGCAUAGCCCCUACACAAGGACGACACAUAAAUUCAUGAAACAUUCUGCUUUUUU
rnacentral:snRNA from 1 species